ACCCAACUCAACUUGUGGGAGUUCCAGUUGUCUGAUAACAGCAACUCUGUUGGAAAAGAAAUUGUCUUACUCCUCUAGUAUUUAUUAUUUUUUCAGAUUUACUAUUCACUGUCUAAACCCAUUACUUUGUGCCAUUUAUUUCAUGCUGCGAAGUAAGAAAAUAAUGAUGCAAAAAGCCAGCUUGUGUUACAACAGCUCCACAGAACAAAGAAUAAAGGACAUUUGGUGCCAGUCUUGCCGUGACUCCUCACAAAGGAUGACUUCAUGAUUUCAUUGGGAUUUUCCCCAUGUCUUCCGUGAUGUGACAUAGAUAAGUAUUUUGGGAAAUUUGGAAAUUAAACACUCUCAAGAAAGAUUUCAUGGAAGCUGAAAUCUACUUCCUUCAAACUUUUCUGGAAGGAUUUUGCUUUCCCUUUUGCCAGACACUGAAGAGAGCCAUAAACAGAAGAGAGACAUUGGCUUCCUGUUCCAGCCACUUGUCCUCAGCAGUCUAAAAUCAGCAUGAUGAACCUUUCAGCUGUUGCUGCAAUAUGCUACAGAAGUGGAGGCCUUCUGUCAACUUCUAGAAGAGUUACUGGAAGAUCAGAAAGACCACAUUAAUUUAUCUGUCUAUCCCCUGACUAGAGGAUGAAUCUGAAAAUUUAAAAAUGUUCCUUAAAAUAUAGAGUCAAAAUAACUGUUUUAA